AUGCACGCUGGCGGCGUGCUUCACCCCUGCAAGUCGCACGCUGAAGCCCAGCUUGCUGGGUGGAUUAGUGGCGAACGGGUGAGUAACACGUGAGUAACCUGCCCUUAACUCUGGGAUAAGCCUGGGAAACUGGGUCUAAUACCGGAUAGGAGCGUCCACCGCAUGGUGGGUGUUGGAAAGAUUUAUCGGUUUUGGAUGGACUCGCGGCCUAUCAGCUUGUUGGUGAGGUAAUGGCUCACCAAGGCGACGACGGGUAGCCGGCCUGAGAGGGUGACCGGCCACACUGGGACUGAGACACGGCCCAGACUCCUACGGGAGGCAGCAGUGGGGAAUAUUGCACAAUGGGCGCAAGCCUGAUGCAGCGACGCCGCGUGAGGGAUGACGGCCUUCGGGUUGUAAACCUCUUUCAGUAGGGAAGAAGCGAAAGUGACGGUACCUGCAGAAGAAGCACCGGCUAACUACGUG
rnacentral:rRNA from 1 species